rnacentral:rRNA from 1 species
CAAUAGCAUAUAUUAACGUUGUUGCAGUUGAAAAGCUCGUAGUUGAACUUUUGGUAGGAGCGACCUGGCCUUGGGCGCAUGCCCUUGUUUGCCGUGUGUCGUAUCUGGCCAUCCUUUUCCGUUUCGGCGGGAAUCCUUUACUGUGAGUAAACUGAGUGCUCAAAACAAGACGUUUGUUUGGUACAUUAAAGCAUGGAAUAAUAAGAUAGGACCUGGUUACUAUUUUGUUGGUUUGCAUAGCUAGGUAAUGAUUAACAGGGACAGUUGGGGGUAUUCGUAUUUAAUUGUCAGAGGUGAAAUUCUUGGAUUUAUGAAAGACGAACGACUGCGAAAGCAUUUACCAAGGAUGUUUUCAUUA